rnacentral:rRNA from 1 species
ACGGAAGGCAGCAGUGGGGAAUCUUCCGCAAUGGGCGAAAGCCUGACGGAGCAACGCCGCGUGAAUGAAGAAGGUCUUCGGAUCGUAAAGUUCUGUUGAGAGGGACGAGAGAUAGCUUCAGGAAAUGGGAGCUAGAGGACGGUACCUUUCGAGGAAGCCACGGCUAACUACGUGCCAGCAGCCGCGGUAAUACGUAGGUGGCGAGCGUUGUCCGGAAUUAUUGGGCGUAAAGGGAGCGCAGGUGGGAAAGUAAGUCAGUCUUAAAAGUGCGGGGCUCAACCCCGCGAUGGGAUUGAAACUACUUUUCUUGAGUGCAGGAGAGGAAAGCGGAAUUCCUAGUGUAGCGGUGAAAUGCGUAGAUAUUAGGAGGAACACCAGUGGCGAAGGCGGCUUGCUGGACUGUAACUGACGUUGAGGCUCGAAAGCGUGGGGAGCAAACAGGAUUAGAUACCCUGGUA